GUAUUCUUUGUUGUGGGUUCCUCUAGUUGUGGCAUGUGGGACGCUGCCUCAGCGUGGUCUGACGAGCAGUGCCAUGUCCGCGCCCAGGAUUCGAACCGAUGAAACACUGGGCCGCCUGCAGCGGAGCGCGCGAACUUAACCACUCGGCCACGGGGCCAGCCCCAGGAAAAAUAAAAUCUUUAAACAAAUAAUAAUAAAAUAAAAUCUAAUUUCAUGCUUCAGAUAAAUAUACGUUUUUGUUUUGCUCUUAGGGGUGAUAAAAAGUAGCUAUUCAUUAUUCCAUAUCUAAGGAUGCACUGAAAUUUGGCUUUGGCCUUGUUCUUCAGAGGGUCACAUAGCAAAAUGCCUAUUUCAGCAUUAUUUCCAGCUUCCCCAAACUUGUGUGUGAUCAAAGGUCACGUGUUUCUCUAGGUUACUGUCCUAUCUAAUUAGCAUAACUAGAAUGAGGAUUGUCAUUUGGGAAAAAUAAAACCUUGCCGUCCGUCAUCCUCAGUUGAAAGUAAAUGUGUGUUUAAUAUCAUAGAUGUCCACUGCAGUGACCACAGGAGCACCCCAACAGCUGUCCUUGCUGAGAAAUUAGCAAUCGUUGUUCCUUGUGUAAUGUCAAACUUCCGUAAUUGAUCUACUAACAUUUUAAAAUGUUUAAAUUGUAUUAAUAGUACGUUUAUAUGAAGGUUUGGGUUUCUUCUUUUAUCUCAGAAGUUCAUUCUGUGAGUUAAUAGACAGCUGUCGUCUAGUCAGAUAUUGACUUUAAUAUUUAUCCUUUCAGCAUUUGGCCAAGAUGUGUAUCCAGAGCAUUUCUGAGUUUAACCCUUCUCGUGGUUCUGCAGGUGGUUUUUAAGUAGCUCUGUCCACAGCUCACUUCCUCCAGGGGAAUUAUUCUGGCCUUUCCUUGGGCUUACUUCCUCAGGUUUCAUUUCCUCCUGGGUUCCUGGGAGCCCUGGAGCGGGUGGUUCCCACAGAUUCCUGGAUAGACCAGACAGAGAGAGCCUCAUACACCUACGGGGAGAAGGGGCAUUAAUUUUUUUUUAAAGGGCCUCUUGGUUUGCCAGGGGCUUCACUGAUCAAUUACUUGACACCCCAACUCUUCUGUCUUUCUUUCCCAUGGGAAAGUAGGAUAGAGGGAUGGAGAACAUCCCUCCGCCCCUGUGCUCAAGACCGUGCCCGCUGAUACUUGCCACCACCACUUUCUACAAAUGGCCAGUAAAUGGUGUCAAGAUAUUUUUUGAGCACCUUCUAGGUUCCCGGGUCAGCACUAGGGACUGUGGGGUGCCAAGAGGCCACGACAGAAUUACCCUCCCCUUAAGGUGCCGACACAGGGGAGUUAGAGCAAAGCUAAGGGCUAGCUGUGUGGCACUGUUUCAAAGAGCACAAUGGCUGAACCUGUUCAGAGGAAAAGUAUUCUGGGAAGGCCUCGCAAAGAGCUAGAACUUGGAAAAGAUCUUGAAAGAUGGAUAAUAAUAUUUAUUUACUUUUAAAAAAGGUAUAACAAAUAAAUGUUUGGCUUGAUAAAUUUUUACAUAUGUGUAUACCGGCCUACACCCAGAUCAAGAUAGAGAACAUUCCAGCACUUCAACAGAUUCCCUCAUGUGCCCUCCCAGGCAAUAAUCAUCCCCAAGAGUAGCCACUGUUCAGACCGCUAUCACAAUAGAGUAGUUUUGUCUGGUUUCGAACAUCAUUCCAAAGAAAUCCUACAGUGUAUACUUUCUUCGACUGGCUUUUUUUGUUCCACAUUAUGUCUGUGAAAUUCAUCCAUUUGUUGCAUAUAGGAGUAGUUCAUUACCUUUCAUUGCUAUAUAAUAUCCCAUUGUGUGAAUAUACUGCAAUUUACUUGUUCAGUCUAUUGUUGACGAUAUUGGGACUGUUUCCAGUUUUGGGCUAUUAUGAAUAAAGCUUCUAUGAACAUUCUUAUUUGUGACUUUUGGUGGACAAAAAUGUUCAUUUCAGUUUGGUAUAUACCUAAGAAAUGGAAUUGCUGGGUUAUGGGUUUCCGUUAUGUUUAGCUUUAGUAGAUACUGCCAGUUUUCCAAAGUCGUGGUAUCAAGUUACACUCCCACCAAGAGUGUGCAAGAGUUCUAGUUGCCUCACAUCCUCAGCAAAACGUGGUAUUGUCAGGCCUUUUAAUUUUAGCCCAUUUGAGGGAUGUAGUGCUAUGUAAUUUGUAUUUCCUUGAUAAUUAAUGAAGUCAGACACCUAUUAAUACACUUAUUGGCCAUCUGGAUAGCCUCUUUUGUGAAGUACCCGUUCAAGUCUUUGUCCUGUUUUAAAAGAUUGCAUUGUGCGACUUUUUGUUUUUCGUUUUUUUUUAAAGAUUUUAUUUUUUCCUUUUUCUCCCCAAAGCCCCCCGGUACAUAGUUGUAUAUUCUUCGUUGUGGGUCCUUCUAGUUGUGGCAUGUGGGAUGUUGCCUCAGCGUGGUUUGAUGAGCAGUGCCAUGUCCGCGCCCAGGAUUUGAACCAACGAAACACUGGGCCACCUGCAGUGGAGUGCGCGAACCCAACCACUCGGCCACGGGGCCAGCCCCGCCUUUUUGUUUUUAAUUUGUGGAAUUUCUUUCUAUAUUAUAGGAAGAUUAGCCCUGAGCUAACAUCCAUGCCCAUCUUCCUCUACUUUAUACGUGGGAUGCCUUCCACAGCAUGGCUUGACAGGCAGUGCCAUGUCCGCACCUGGGUUCUGGGCUGCUGAACCCUGGGCCACUGAAGCGGAACGUGUGAACUUAACCGCUGUACCACUGGGCUGGCUCCAACCUGCCUUGAUUACUGUCGCCUUAUAGUAAGUCUUGCAGUUGGGUACUGUCAGUCCUCUGACUUUGUUGUUCUCUUUCAAUAUUAUGUUGGCUAUUCUGGGUCUUUUGCCUCUCGGUAUAAACUUUAGAAUCAGUUUGUUGAUAUCCACAAAAUAACUUGCUGGACUUUAGAUUAGGGCUGCAUUGAACCUAUAGAUCAAAUUGGGAAAAACUGACAUCCUGACAAUAGUGAGUCUUUCUAUCCGUGAACAUGAAAUAUCUCUCCAUUUAUUUAGUUCUUUGAUUUCUUUCAUUAGAGUUUUGUAGUUUUUCUCAUACAGAUCUUGUAUAUAUUUUGUUAGAUUUAAACGUAUUUCAUUUUUGGGGGUGUUAAUGGAAAUUGGUAUUGUGUUUUUAAUUUCAAAUUCCACUUGUCCACUGCUGGUAAAUAGGAUUGAAUUUUGUAUAUAAACCUGUGUCCUAUAACGUUGCUAUAAUCUCUAGUUCCACUGGUUUUUUUUUUUUUUUUAAAGAUUGGCACCUGAGCUAACAACUGUGGCCAAUCUUUUUUUUUUUUCCUUUUCUGCUUUAUCUCCCCAAAUCCCCCCUGGUGCAUAGUUGUAUAUCUUAGUUGCAGGUCCUUCUAGUUGUGGCAUAUGAGAUGCCGCCUCAACGUGGCCUGACGAGCGGCGCCACGUCCACGCCCAGGAUCCGAACCUGUGAAACCCUGGACCGCCACAGUGGAGCACACAAACUUAACCACUCGGCCACGGGGCCGGCCCCUCCCUAGUUUUUUUGUUGAUUCUUUCAGAUUCUCUACAUAGAUGAUCAUGUCAUCUGCGAACAGAAAAUUUUAUUUCUUUCUUCCUAAUCUUGGUUAGUGAUUUUUUUGUGUGUCUCGUUUAAGACAUCUUUGCCUAGCCCAUGGUCAUGAAGAUAGUCUCCUUUUUGUUUUUGUUUUUUUAAAUCCUAGAAGAUUUUAUUUUCUCUUUCACAUUUAGGUCUAUGAUCCAUCUCAAAUUAAUUUUUAUAUCUAGAGUGGGGUAGGGAGCCAAGUUUUGCUUUUUGCAUAGGAUGUACAAUUGAGCCAGCACUAGUUAUUGAAGGGCCACCCUUUCCCCACUGAACUGUGUGGCUCUUUUGUCGUCUGUCAGGCGUGAGCGUGCAUUUAUGUCCGUUUUGGACUCUAUUUUGUUCCCUUGGUCUGUUAAUCUGUUGUGUGCCAAUACCUUAGUGUGUUAGUUGCUGUAGCUUUAAGAUAAGCUUUGAUGUCUGGGAGUGCAAACCCUCCGGCUUUGUUGUUCUGUUUCAGAUUGCCUUGGCUUUUCUUAGUUCUUUGAUUUUUCUGUAUACAUUUUGGAAUCAUCUUGUCAAUGUCUAAAAAUAAAAUGCUGGGAUUCUGAUUGGGAUUCCAUUGAAUUUAUACAUCAAAUUAGGGAGAUUUGACAUCUUAAAAUACUGUCUUCCAAUCCAUGAACAUGAAAUAUUCUUCCAUUUAUUUACGUAUUCUUUAAUUUUUUUU
ensembl:lncRNA